rnacentral:rRNA from 1 species
UACGGAGGGGGCUAGCGUUGUUCGGAAUUACUGGGCGUAAAGCGCACGUAGGCGGCUUUGUAAGUUAGAGGUGAAAGCCCGGGGCUCAACCCCGGAAUUGCCUUUAAGACUGCAUCGCUAGAAUCGUGGAGAGGUAAGUGGAAUUCCGAGUGUAGAGGUGAAAUUCGUAGAUAUUCGGAAGAACACCAGUGGCGAAGGCGACUUACUGGACACAUAUUGACGCUGAGGUGCGAAAGCGUGGGGAGCAAACAGG